ACGGGAGGCAGCAGUGGGGAAUAUUGCACAAUGGGGGAAACCCUGAUGCAGCGACGCCGCGUGAAGGAAGAAGUAUCUCGGUAUGUAAACUUCUAUCAGCAGGGAAGAAAAUGACGGUACCUGACUAAGAAGCCCCGGCUAACUACGUGCCAGCAGCCGCGGUAAUACGUAGGGGGCAAGCGUUAUCCGGAUUUACUGGGUGUAAAGGGAGCGUAGACGGAAUUGCAAGUCUGAUGUGAAAGGCAUGGGCUCAACCCGUGGACUGCAUUGGAAACUGUGGUUCUUGAGUGCCGGAGGGGUAAGCGGAAUUCCUGGUGUAGCGGUGAAAUGCGUAGAUAUCAGGAGGAACACCGGUGGCGAGGGCGGCUUACUGGACGGCAACUGACGUUGAGGCUCGAAGGCGUGGGGAGCAAACAGGAUUAGAUACCCUGGUA
rnacentral:rRNA from 1 species